GACGAACGCUGGCGGCGUGCUUAACACAUGCAAGUCGAAGAUAGUGGCGAACGGGUGAGUAAUACGUGGGUAACCUGCCCUCCUUUUUGGGAUAAGCCUUGGAAACGGGGUCUAAUACCGAAUAAAGGGGGAUGGGCUCGCGGCCUAUCAGCUUGUUGGUGGGGUGGUGGCCUACCAAGGCGGUGACGGGUAGCUGGCAUGAGAGGGUGACCGGCCACGGUGGGACGGAGAUACGGCCAAGACUCCUACGGGAGGAAGCAGGGGGGGAUAUUGAACAAUGGGCGAAAGGCUGAUGCAGCGAAGCGGCGUGGGGGAUGAAGGCGUUCGGGUUGUAAACCUCUUUGGCUAUCGAACGGGUAGGAGAAGAAGAAGCGCCGGCUAACUACGUGCCAGCAGCCGCGGUAAUAC
rnacentral:rRNA from 1 species